UACGUAGGGUGCGAGCGUUGUCCGGAAUUAUUGGGCGUAAAGAGCUCGUAGGCGGUCUGUCGCGUCGAUCGUGAAAACUUGGGGCUUAACCCUGAGCUUGCGGUCGAUACGGGCAUGACUGGAGUUCGGCAGGGGAGACUGGAAUUCCUGGUGUAGCGGUGAAAUGCGCAGAUAUCAGGAGGAACACCGGUGGCGAAGGCGGGUCUCUGGGCCGAUACUGACGCUGAGGAGCGAAGGCGUGGGGAGCGAACAGG
rnacentral:rRNA from 1 species